rnacentral:snRNA from 1 species
AUCGCGCCUCAGCCUUUUGGCUAAGAUCAAGUGUAGUAUCUGUUCUCAUCAGUUAAACAUUAUUGUUGAAAUUUUUGUCCAUGCUUAAUCAGCUAAAUAUAUUUUUAGAUAUACAUCGAGAUUUCCUAACCUGGAAAUUUUUAAUGUUAUUUUCCAAAAACUU